AGAACGAACGCUGGCGGCAGGCUUAACACAUGCAAGUCGAACGGUUGUAGCAAUACAGCAGUGGCGCACGGGUGAGUAAUACUUGGGAACGUGCCUUUCAGUCUGGGAUAACAGCGGGAAACUGCUGCUAAUACCGGAUAUUCUCUCCGGAGGAAAGAUUUAUCGCUGAAAGAUCGGCCCAAGCCAGAUUAGGUAGUUGGUGGGGUAAAAGCCUACCAAGCCUACGAUCUGUAGCUGGUCUGAGAGGACGACCAGCCACACUGGAACUGAGACACGGUCCAGACUCCUACGGGAGGCAGCAGUGGGGAAUAUUGGACAAUGGGGGAAACCCUGAUCCAGCCAUGCCGCGUGAGUGAUGAAGGCCUUAGGGUUGUAAAGCUCUUUUGUCAGGGAAGAUGAUGACGGUACCUGAAGAAUAAGCACCGGCUAACUUCGUGUCAGCAGCCGC
rnacentral:rRNA from 1 species